UGGAGAUGAACCCUAGAAUUUGAAACAGGAUGAAUUUAGAACUUGAAUCUAGAUUAUGCAAGGCCAACUUUGCACGUGAUGCCAAAUUUCCACAAAGAUCUAAACAAUUCAUAGAAAGAGAAAUGAAAGAUGUUCAGGCUCAAGAAAUCGGGUAGCAAAUUGAGGAAGAGGCAAAUAAGACUUUUUGAUAAUGAUAGCCAAGAUAUUGAAAUUGAUA
rnacentral:misc_RNA from 1 species